rnacentral:tRNA from 1 species
GUAGGUGUAGCUCAGUAGUAGGGCUCUUGCCUGUUGUGUGCAAGAUCCUGGGUUUGAUUCCCCAGCACACACA